GGGCCCGCACAAGCAGCGGAGCAUGUGGUUUAAUUCGAAGCAACGCGAAGAACCUUACCUAGACUUGACAUCCCCUGCAUAACCCAGAGAUGGGCGAAGUCCUUCGGGACAGGGUGACAGGUGGUGCA
rnacentral:rRNA from 1 species